CACGCAGGCGGUCUGUUAAGUCGGAUGUGAAAUCCCCGAGCUUAACUUGGGAAUUGCAUUCGAUACUGGGAAGCUAGAGUAUGGGAGAGGAUGGUAGAAUUCCAGGUGUAGCGGUGAAAUGCGUAGAGAUCUGGAGGAAUACCGAUGGCGAAGGCAGCCAUCUGGCCUAAUACUGACGCUGAGGCGCGACAGCGUGGGGAGCAAACAGGAUUAGAUACCCCCGUA
rnacentral:rRNA from 1 species